UUAAAGAGAGUUUGAUCCUGGCUCAGGACGAACGCUGGCGGCGUGCCUAAUACAUGCAAGUCGAACGAACUUUGGAAGAGCUUGCUCUUCCAAAGUUAGUGGCGGACGGGUGAGUAACACGUGGGCAACCUGCCUGUAAGUUGGGGAUAACUCCGGGAAACCGGGGCUAAUACCGAAUGAUAAAGUGUGGCGCAUGCCACGCUUUUGAAAGAUGGUUUCGGCUAUCGCUUACAGAUGGGCCCGCGGUGCAUUAGCUAGUUGGUAGGGUAAUGGCCUACCAAGGCAACGAUGCAUAGCCGACCUGAGAGGGUGAUCGGCCACACUGGGACUGAGACACGGCCCAGACUCCUACGGGAGGCAGCAGUAGGGAAUCUUCCGCAAUGGACGAAAGUCUGACGGAGCAACGCCGCGUGUAUGAAGAAGGUUUUCGGAUCGUAAAGUACUGUUGUUAGAGAAGAACAAGGAUAAGAGUAACUGCUUGUCCCUUGACGGUAUCUAACCAGAAAGCCACGGCUAACUACGUGCCAGCAGCCGCGG
rnacentral:rRNA from 1 species